GAACGGUUCCGGUCACCGUGCCUCCUCCGGGAAGGCCACCUUGAUUGAUGCCACGAGACCUGCCCCGUUCCUUCGGCCUCCAGGACCCUGAAAUACCCCGGCCAUGGGCACAGAACAGUCCAGGGCGGGCUUAACUGCCCGGAAACGGAAGUCCGGCUCCUUUCCGCCUCUCUCCCUUCUCGCUGCUGCCGUGCUGGUCCGCGGCCUGGUCGCCAUGCCCCGGAAAAUCGAGGAGAUCAAGGACUUCCUGCUCACGGCCCGGCGGAAGGAUGCCAAGUGUGGGUGGCCGCGCGGGCGCGUCGCGGGCGGGAGAGGGGCGCGGGCGGCGCGGGCUCGGGGGCCGUGGAAUCACGUGUCUGAAAGAACAGCAGCGAGGAGGAGAGGGAGAGGUCUCCCAUCCGCUGUCCACUCCCCCGAGGGCCGCCGUGGCCAGGGCUCCCACGCGGGUGCAGGGCCCAAGCACUGGGGCCAGCCUCCACUGCCCUCCCGGGCCCAGCAGGGAGCGGGAUGGGAAGUGGAGCAGCCGGGACUCGAACCGGCGCCCACGCGGCUGCAGGCCCCCAGGUGUCCUCUCAGCCCGCCGGCGUCGAGGGCGCUGAGCUGCUGUCCGCGGACUGACCGUCCGACCGAGGCUCUGAGCCCCGGCCCCUGCGCCCGCGAGGUGGGCGGGGGUGGACCUGCUGCGCCUGCAGGGUGGGCGUUGGGGGGUCGGCGCUGGCGCCAGGGACCGAGCAGAGCCACGGAGCCGCGAUCAGCCCUCGGCCGCCUGCUGCUGCGUGACCCUGGCCGGGCGGGGCAGGUUCCUCCCGCAGACCCAGGUGGCCGCGGCCGGCCGCGCGCUCGGUGUCCGGCUGUCGGCUCGGUGUCCACGCUGCGCUGCUGGGCGUGAGCUCCGCUGAGCCGAGGUCCUGGACGCGGCAGCCGUGGCGCUGGGGGAGGGGGCGCACUGGGGACCCUGCCCCGUGGGGAGCCUGGGGGGAGCCCCGCCUCUGGGGCCCCGCGCCCACACGGGCUCCUGGCUGGCCCCGCAAGCUGGGGGCGUGGAGGAGCGGGCCCGCAGGGAGACCUCAUAACCGGGC
rnacentral:lncRNA from 1 species